AGAGCUCCGGGGUCGUGGGAUCCUGAGGCUGGCCUUGCCCCAGGACGCACGUGGUCCGGCAUUACAAGGUGAAGCGGGAGGGCCCCAAGUACGUGAUCGAUGUGGAACAGCCGUUCUCUUGCACCUCCCUGGACGCCGUGGUCAACUAUUUCGUGUCGCAUACCAAAAAGGCGCUGGUGCCAUUCCUGUUAGACGAGGACUACGAGAAGGUGCUAGGCUACGUGGAAGCCGAUAAGGAGAAUGGCGAGAAUGUGUGGGUGGCGCCCUCCGCUCCGGGCCCAGGUCCUGCACCCUGCACAGGUGGCCCCAAGCCGCUGUCACCUGCGUCUAGCCAGGACAAGCUGCCCCCACUGCCCCCACUACCGAACCAGGAAGAGAACUACGUGACCCCCAUUGGAGAUGGCCCAGCUGUUGACUAUGAGAACCAAGAUGUGGCUUCCUCUAGUUGGCCAGUCAUCCUGAAGCCAAAGAAGUUGCCAAAGCCUCCUGCCAAGCUUCCAAAGCCACCCGUUGGACCCAAGCCAGUAGAGAAGGGGUUUCACCAUGUUGCCCAGGCUGGUCUCGAACUCCUGACCUCAAGUGA
rnacentral:lncRNA from 10 species